UAGAGGGAAACCUGGCGCUGCUGCGCUGUGGUAUGCAUGGGAAUGCCAGUAUACUGUGGAUUCGGAUUGGCAUCGUUCUCGUAGAGACAGGAGAGACAGGGGCCGGCGUUGCGCGUACCCGGUGGUUCGAACGGGUGCGUUGCGUUCACCCAAAUAGCCAACUUGUUACUGAUUUGGCUUGGCUCCCGUUGGAUUUUUAAAAGGUGGCGGUAGUGCGUAUUGGACAUUUCUUGAAUUUCUUGUGAGCGUCUGUGAAACAAGGUGUAACCUUUCUCUAUGAUGAAACAUUCACGAGGUGUUUCUGCGUUGUAUGUUCGAUUUAAGUGGUCUUCGCUGCCGUGGUUAGUUUGUUUGGCUGCCCAGACUUGUUGCAGCCCAAGUAACAGUGAAGGUCAGCGUUAUUUUCUUACCAGAUUUGCUAGUGAGUGGUUCAGCCAUGGCUGUGUAUGGAAGAGAGCGGGCACUAUUUUGCAAGUCGCCUAUUACUUAAUUGCAGGCAUUAUGGGCAUGCUUCCCUGACACCUGCCUAUUCUAAAGACUGCAAAGCAGCAAGCACAGCACAUGCUAUGACAGGGUAGGUGAAUCUCAGCUAAGGCAACUGGCCACAGCUAUCUGGUGUUGAGCGAUCGAGCAGUGAUGAGACAAUCCCCCUAUGUUCCAUAAUUUUUCACUUCAUUCUUGAUGCCCUUAAUGCGUGUCACCACCCUAGCCCCCUUACUGUAUCAUCCUCCCCACUCCCUGGAGCUCUCUGAAACUCUUUUCAGCUAAUCACUGUCCCACUUUUCAACAUUCACGGGGUUGUUGAAUGACACAGCAUUCUAUAACAUUCCUAUAUUUAUGUUUCUGUGUGGACAUCGAAGCCAUUCACCUAGCUCCCAUAGUUUGUUGUGGCGGCUUCUUAGCUUCCCUGGUCCAGCACCCCGUCCUUGAUAUAGAUUGCCGCGCGCAAAUCAGCAUUCUGUAGGCCUUUCUUUCUUGUCCCGUUUUCUCUCCAUUUUUUCAUUCUUAGCAGUGUGUACAAACUAGCCUGAGAGCAAGCUCUUCUGAAGUUUAUUAGCAUAAUGAAAGUCAGAGUCAAUGGAAAGUAAAAGAAGAAAGAAGAAGGUGGGGGGAGUGUUUUUUAUGAGUUUUCUAAACAAGCAAGUUGAUAUAAGUAAGUUGUAUAAUAGCAAGCACCAAGUAUGAAAGAAUAAAAAACACAUUUGCA